rnacentral:rRNA from 1 species
AGGACGAACGCUGGCGGCGUGCUUAACACAUGCAAGUCGAGCGGAAAGGCCCUUCGGGGUACUCGAGCGGCGAACGGGUGAGUAACACGUGAGUAAUCUGCCCCUAGCUCUGGGAUAGCUCCGGGAAACCGGGAUUAAUACCGGAUACGACCACUUUAGACAUCUGUUGUGGUGGAAAGAAUUUUGGCUAGGGAUGAGCUCGCGGCCUAUCAGCUUGUUGGUGGGGUAACGGCCUACCAAGGCGACGACGGGUAGCCGGCCUGAGAGGGCGACCGGCCACACUGGGACUGAGACACGGCCCAGACUCCUACGGGAGGCAGCAGUGGGAAUAUUGCGCAAUGGGCGAAAGCCUGACGCAGCGACGCCGCGUGGGGGAUGAAGGCCUUCGGGUUGUAAACCCCUUUCAGCAGGGACGAAGCGAAAGUGACGGUACCUGCAGAAGAAGCGCCGGCUAACUACGUGCCAGCAGCCGC